GAUGAACGCUGGCGGCGUGCUUAACACAUGCAAGUCGAACGAAGCACUUUAUUUGAUUUCCUUCGGGACUGAUUAUUUUGUGACUGAGUGGCGGACGGGUGAGUAACGCGUGGGUAACCUGCCUUGUACAGGGGGAUAACAGUUGGAAACGGCUGCUAAUACCGCAUAAGCGCACGGCAUCGCAUGAUGCAGUGUGAAAAACUCCGGUGGUAUAAGAUGGACCCGCGUUGGAUUAGCUAGUUGGUGAGGUAACGGCCCACCAAGGCGACGAUCCAUAGCCGACCUGAGAGGGUGACCGGCCACAUUGGGACUGAGACACGGCCCAAACUCCUACGGGAGGCAGCAGUGGGGAAUAUUGCACAAUGGGCGAAAGCCUGAUGCAGCGACGCCGCGUGAGCGAAGAAGUAUUUCGGUAUGUAAAGCUCUAUCAGCAGGGAAGAUAAUGACAGUACCUGACUAAGAAGCACCGGCUAAAUACGUG
rnacentral:rRNA from 1 species